AGAUGCCGUUCCAUCGCUCCCCUCCUCCAAGACGACGUUUCAUCCAAGUCGUCCCUCCCAAUACGACGAUUCAGGCAUUUCUCUCGCUCUCCAAGAUGACGAUUCCCUUAAAAGCGAGUUUCCAUCAUUCAAUCGUUCAAUCCAAUAAAGUAGAAAAAGGGUUUUGCACCGAGUGGGGGAAUCAUACUGUAGGUUGAUUUUCUUGAGAAGUGAAAGGAUUGCAAGUUGAUGUUCUUGUGGAGGAUUUAACACAACUGAGAUAAUGACCAUUGCGUAAAUCAAAGCAAAUGAUGGCACAACGAUCUUGGAGCAGAUGGAUGUUGACAAUCAAAUUGGAAAACUUAUGGUUGAACUGUCCGAAGUCAAGGCUACGAGAUUGGUGAUGGGUUGGUGGGUAGAACUGGAGCUUAUAGCAAUAGCAACUGGUUUGUGGUCACUGAUUGGCUAUUUAAAACUAAGUUGCCAUUUACCAAACACUUACCCGGAGAGGAGUUGUUGCAUGAGUGAAUCAAGGUCAAGUGAUUUUUCCACUUUAAUGACUAUGAAGCAAGGGACUGCUGACAUUUACAAGAAGUAUGGUUUUUGUUUAAUUUGAAGUAUGUGUUGUCGGGAAUGUAAAGUGCAAUAAGCGUAUUAUAGAUUAAGAAGAUUGUGUUGUCGGGGAAUGUCAAGUGCAAUAAUUUAUUAAAGUUUGUAUUGGGGGUUUGUCUUUUGAGCAAAUCUGUCAAGAGAUAGAACAAUGUAAUACUAAAGAUGCAUCGAUGAGUACAUCUUUUCAUA